UACGUAGGGGGCAAGCGUUAUCCGGAUUUACUGGGUGUAAAGGGAGCGUAGACGGCAGCGCAGGUCUGGAGUGAAAUGCCGGGGCUCAACCCCGGAACUGCUUUGGAAACUGUGCAGCUAGAGUGCGGGAGAGGUAAGCGGAAUUCCUAGUGUAGCGGUGAAAUGCGUAGAUAUUAGGAGGAACACCAGUGGCGAAGGCGGCUUACUGGACCGUAACUGACGUUGAGGCUCGAAAGCGUGGGGAGCAAACAGG
rnacentral:rRNA from 1 species